UUCUAACUGUAGGAAGUGAUAACUUUUAUGAUUCAGUGAGAUCCUCUGCAGACCCUGGAAAUGACACAGAUGACGCCCAAAAUGUCACCUACUCUCUGAUUGAAUUUAAAAACUCUGGACACAGGAAAGAGGGCGCUGUUUACUCUGAGGUUAACAGAACCUGUCCAGUGGAGCCGAGUCCUGCAGCAGCCGACGUUGCUUAUUCUGAAAAGUAAGAAGAAAUCUGUAUGAAGACACAACCAUGUAGGCCUCAGCUCUUAUUACAAAAACAUAAAAAAGAUACCAAAACUGUAAUCUUACCUACUGAAAUUAGAAACAUAUAUCAGUUUUGCAACAAUCUGAUCAACUAUUUUUCUAUCAUGUUCCAUAGUUUUUUUGAUUUUGCCCAAAAUUGACCAUUUGUAGAUGUAAAACAUUCAGUGAUGUUUUUGAGUUUUAUGCUACUCAGUGAUGAAUCUGUCCGUUGCCUUUUAGAUUACAGAUGAGCAUUAAAAGAAAUUCACAUCACUUC